rnacentral:misc_RNA from 1 species
UAGAGUUAUCUAACUCCCAAACCCAUGUGAACUUACCAUUGUUGCCUCGGCAGAACCUACCCGGUACUAACCUACCCUGUAGUGCUCUGCCGGUGGACCUUUAAACUCUUGUUAUUAUAUGUAAUCUGAGCGUCUUAUUUUAAUAAGUCA